AUUCCGAAAGGAGUAUCUUCUCACAAGGACGUUGGGACAGGUGUUGCACGGCCCUCGUCAGUUCGUGGUGUGAAUUGUUCCCUUAAGUGGGGUAACGAACGCAACCCUCAUUGCCUGUUAUAAGUGUCAGGCGAGACUGCCUCAUUUCAUGGGGAGGAAGGUGGGGAUGACGCGAGGUCAGCGUGGCCCUUUGAUAUCCUGGGCUACACACGUGAUACAAUGGUACACACAAUGGGUCGCCAAAGCGCGAGCUGGAGCUAAUCCCAUCAAAAUGUACCCCAGUUCAGAUUGGAGUCUGCAACUCGACUCCAUGAAGCCGGAAUCGCUAGUAAACGCAGAUCAGCUAUGCUGCGUUGAAUACGUUCUCGAAUCUUGUACUCACAAUAAAAGCGCUCGGCAGGUUAUGUUGCUAGGCAGUUUAAAUCUGCUCCUCC
rnacentral:rRNA from 1 species